rnacentral:rRNA from 1 species
UACGAAGGGGGCUAGCGUUGUUCGGAUUUACUGGGCGUAAAGCGCGUGUAGGCGGGUCGUUAAGUUGGGGGUGAAAUCCCGAGGCUCAACCUCGGAACUGCCUUCAAAACUGGCGACCUGGACUCAAGUAGAGGCAAGUGGAAUUGCGAGUGUAGAGGUGAAAUUCGUAGAUAUUCGCAGGAACACCAGUGGCGAAGGCGACUUGCUGGGCUUGUAGUGACGCUGAGACGCGAAAGCGUGGGGAGCAAACAGG